rnacentral:rRNA from 1 species
UUCUUUUAGAACUAAAUAAAAGUAUAUUCUGCUCAAUGAAUAUUAAAUAGCUGCAGCUUUGCACUAAGGUAGCAUAAUCAAUUGUCUAUUAAUUGUAGACUUGUAUGAAUGAAUUAAUAAUUAAAAACUUUAUUAAUAAUAAUAUUUGAAUUUUGAUUUUUAGUAAUAAUACUAGAAUUAUUUAUAGGGACAAGAAGACCCUAUAAAGCUUAAAAUAUGUAUAUAAAAUUAAUUUAGAUAAUAUUUUUAAUUGGGGCAAUUAUUUAUAAUAAAAAAUAUAAAAAUAUAAAAAUUUAAAAACAUGAUCCUUUUAUAAAGAUAAAUUGAAUUAGUUACUUUAGGGAUAACAGUAUAAUUUUUAUUAUAUAGUACAAAUUAACAAUAAAGAUUAUAACCUCGAUGUUGAAUUAAUUUUAUAACUAGGUGAAGAAGCUUAGUAUAUUUGACUGUUCGUCAAUUAAAAAAUUACG